UAUGUAAAUUUGUUCACUUCUAAAAUAGGAUUUUCUUUUCUGGUUGGGGGAGGAGAGAGAAAAAUAACCUUAGCAUUAAUAUUACUGUUUCAAAAAUCUUGCUGCUACUACUAUUUGUCAGAAAUUCUCACUCAAAAAUAUUUUGCACUAAAAUAUAUAAAGGUGAAAAAAACCUAAGAGUUCAUUAUUCUUACAAAUCUGGAAGUUCUGCAAACUAAAAUGAGUAUAUAAUUUUAGUAGUCACAGCUUAAUUUAAUAGGGACAGCCCAUUUUCUUUAAUAUAUUUGGGCUAAUUAAAAUGGCUUCUCCCUCAACUUAACCAAAGUCUUCAUUUAAAACUCAGAGAUCCUGAAUUAUAUUUUUAAUCAGAGGGAUCAAAAUUAAUCUAAAAAGAAAUAUUUGAAGACUUUCAGAAUACUCAAAAAGAUUUAAGUUAAAUAUUUAGACCAUUGUUUUUAGAAAUUUUUUUGUGUGUUUUGAAAUUUGGUUGCUUACAUGUUAAAAUUUAUUUUGUUUUAAGUUGAUAGAUGUAUUUUAAAUUAUUUACUUUGAUUUGCAGUGGAUGAAGUCAAACUUUUAUCAUGUAAUUUGUGAUAAGUAUAGCUAUUAAAGAACUUUUCAGAGUCAGUUUUAUUGAGGGUUAGAAUUUUAAGUAUGAAUCAUAUCAUGACAGUAUUCUAAACUGUACCAUGGUAUGUGAAAGACAAGUAUGUAUAUGGUAUUUGUUUUCUGUCAUUUUGAAACCCACUAUCUUGAUACUCAAUAUUAAAAAAAACAACAACCCAUUUUCUAUCUUGCUGGCUUGUAUUACAUAGGAGGCUGGUGAAACUCCUAAGAGUGUAAUUCCCUUUAAACACUGUUGAGUUAAGGAAAAGAAAUGUAAAUAACAAUUUCAUUCUCUUGUACUUGAUUGAAAACUUUUGGAUGCCGAAGCUUACUCUGUCAGUUGUUUAAAUGAUUGAAAAAUGCAUGAUAAAUUUUAAUUUUGUAAUUAAUGUUUUUGAUAAGCAUAAUUUACUUGGACUACUUUAUAGUUAGCCUUAAUUUCUGGCCAAGUUUUUUUUUUUUUAAGUACAUAUAUACAUAUAUAUAUAUAUAUAUAAGUAUAUAAAUAUAUCAUGUACUGGUUGUAAAUUCACACAUCAUCUUCACUCAAAUGUGUUAUGUAUGGAAAACUCUUUUAAAAAUAGCUUAUUCUCAAAUGCUGAGAUGAAAAAUGUUUUGGAAGGGCUUUUAAGCUACAUCUUUAUAAAAAUAAUUAAUAUUCAGUAAGAAAACGGAAAUGGUUUAUAUUGUUAACAUAAAAAUAUUAUAGUAUCAUGACGCCCAAUGUAUUCACUGAUUUAUUUGAAUUGGGGAUGAUGGUAAGAGGUAGAGGAAGAAAACAGAUGUUCAUAUACUUUUCCUUGGAAGUAUCAGUUCACUGAACUUUUGUUUUAGUCUUAGUACAGGACAUUGGGAAUCUCAUUCUUUAAUUGAUAGUUCAUGUGUGCUAAGUAUGUUGGGAACUUUUCCUCCAAAUAUUUGAUAUAUUCCCUUGAAGUUCUGUGUUCAUAUUGCUGAAAAAGGAGAUGGUUGACACCUUAGGUAAGUUUGGUUGUUAGAAAGCACAAUUCUGAUUGUAACACUCUUACUUUGCAUCUUCCUUUCUACUAAAUUCAAUGUUCCAGAGUGAACUCUGCCUUAAAGAAUGACCAUUUUCCACAAUUUAGGGAAAGAAUGGAGAAUUACAUAUUGGAAUCAAAUGUUAAUUUCAAAGUGAAAACUGAUAAAGGUCCUUUUAAAAAUCUUUUGUUAUGUAAAAUUAUAAUUGAGCACUUGUCUUCUCACCCACUGUUAGAGUUUAGCCGGGAAAGUUCAGUUUUUCAUUCAAAUAAAAGAUAGGGUUUUUGUUUGCCCCUUUUUUUUUUUUUUUUUUUUUUUGGGGGGGGGGGUGAGGCACUUGGGAUUAAGUAACUUGCCCAGGGUAACAAAGUGUUAACUGUCUGAGGCCAAAGAUGAGGAUAUUUUUUCCUGUGAGGAAAGGAAUUCUCUGAAGCCUCAGUGUAUAGUCAUAACUAUUCUUGGCUUGUUUUCUAUGAUGCUCUGGUAAAACAGAUGAUGAAACUCAUUAAAGAGAGUCUUAUUGAAACAUCCUUCAGGUUUUUCCUGUGUCACAGAAACACACUCCUAAUGUUCUUAGGUAUAACUCAGAAAGCUAGUUGUGCCAGAUGUUGCCUAGCCUUUUAGAUCCAUAAGUAGGAUGCAAAUUGCUAAAUUAAGUUACGCUCAUGUGAAUUUGUGAAUAAGCUUUUUCUGACCCUUUUCUGUGGUGUCAGGGGAGUCCACAGGUUGGGUAAACAGAAAAUUCAGCUUGCUUCCAUUCAGCUGAUUAUGAUGAUCUCCCUGAAACCUUAUUGACAGGUUAAGCUGAAAUUUAAUUAAACACAAACCAGAACCACAGCUACCUCUAAGAAGUAGUGUUUUCCUUAAGCACAAAAACGCUCAGGCAUAUUAGGCCCAUUUCAUUGCGGGGUCUCCAAUUUUAUAAGUAUCAGCAAGUUUUAAACUGCCUUUUAUAAUCUCCCAAACCCACUUUCGCUAAUAGCUCUCUCCCAGACCAUACAGUGCUUAGUAGAGAAGGUUCUUCUGAAAGAGUCAAAUACAGAUUAUUGGUAGAUAAGCAUAUGCUUAAAGGAAAAUCUAGAACUGAGAGGGGAAGAUGGUUCUAGUUCUAAGAGUAGAAAUCAGCUCCUUUCAGGAAAAAGAAACUUUACAGGAAGUGGAAUCAUGUCUUAUGAAAAUUAUUUCUGAUCAAGGCCCAACAACCUAAUAACCACGUGUCUUGUUGCCAUGGUUGCAGUGGUUUUGCUCUAGCUUUAAAGUUCUGCUCUUGAGCUUGAGGCAGAAUACCUUGUCGGUUUCAAUGUUGGCUGCAACUGUAGUGAUGCUGUUCUGACUUGCAAUGUCAUGGCUCCUCAAGUUUUUCAGAAAGAACUCUUGUUUCAGUUUGUGCCUCUUGUCUACUGGAGAGCAAAUGUUUUUGCAGUUGUGGGAUUGACACACUAAAAUAAAGUCAUUUCUUAAAACUAUUUUGGGGAAGUAGUGUUUUGUUAAAUAGAUUAUCCUAUUUAAGACUGGCUGCUUUAUUCUUUUUUUUCCAACUAUUGAUGAUCUUAUGGCCC
ensembl:lncRNA